rnacentral:sRNA from 1 species
ACCCUACGGGGAAGGAUGAGAAGCUUCGACCAAGGUUCGACUCGAGCGCCAGCGAGAGAACGUUGCCGCAGGCAACGGCCCGAAGGGCGAGGAGCGAUAGCGACGAGUUAUCCUUCCCCCACCACCA